rnacentral:rRNA from 1 species
GACAGAGGAUGCAAGCGUUAUCCGGAAUGAUUGGGCGUAAAGCGUCUGUAGGUGGCUUUUUAAGUCCGCCGUCAAAUCCCAGGGCUCAACCCUGGACAGGCGGUGGAAACUACCAAGCUGGAGUACGGUAGGGGCAGAGGGAAUUUCCGGUGGAGCGGUGAAAUGCGUAGAGAUCGGAAAGAACACCAACGGCGAAAGCACUCUACUGGGCCAUUACUGACACUGAGAGACGAAAGCUAGGGGAGCAAAUGGG